GACGAACGCUGGCGGCGUGCUUAACACAUGCAAGUCGAACGGAAAGGCCCUGCUUUUGUGGGGUGCUCGAGUGGCGAACGGGUGAGUAACACGUGAGUAACCUGCCCUUGACUUUGGGAUAACUUCAGGAAACUGGGGCUAAUACCGGAUAGGAGCUCCUGCUGCAUGGUGGGGGUUGGAAAGUUUCGGCGGUUGGGGAUGGACUCGCGGCUUAUCAGCUUGUUGGUGGGGUAGUGGCUUACCAAGGCUUUGACGGGUAGCCGGCCUGAGAGGGUGACCGGCCACAUUGGGACUGAGAUACGGCCCAGACUCCUACGGGAGGCAGCAGUGGGGAAUAUUGCACAAUGGGCGGAAGCCUGAUGCAGCAACGCCGCGUGCGGGGUGACGGCCUUCGGGUUGUAAACCGCUUCCGCCUGUGACGAAGCGUGAGUGACGGUAAUGGGUAAAGAAGCACCGGCUAACUACGUG
rnacentral:rRNA from 1 species